rnacentral:rRNA from 1 species
GUACGAACCGUGCGAACGUUGUUCGGAAUCACUGGGCUUAAAGGGCGCGUAGGCGGGCCGCCAAGUCCGGGGUGAAAUCCUCCAGCUCAACUGGAGAACUGCCUCGGAUACUGGAGGUCUCGAGGGAGAUAGGGGCACGCGGAACUGUGGGUGGAGCGGUGAAAUGCGUUGAUAUCCAUAGGAACUCCGGUGGCGAAGGCGGCGUGCUGGAUCUCAUCUGACGCUGAGGCGCGAAAGCCAGGGGAGCAAACGGG